CUCCAAUCUGUCGAGAAAAGAUAGGAAAAAAUCAGAGGCGAGAGAGAGAGAGAGAGAGAGAGAUCGAUGAUGCGAUAGCGUCGGGACGUUGUUCGGAAGGUAAUGGUAAUCGCAAACAUUUGGGGUUACACUACGCGUCGAUGUCGCAACUAGAACGGAAUGCGAGGCUCGUUCUCGAGCAUGGUCUGUGAACGAGCGUGUGCGCGUCAUGAAUCGACGUCGAUUUUGAUAAAUGAUAAUACGGAAAUGCAUAAAGCUGAUCAAAACAUAAGCUAUGAAACAAAGAAACCGAAUCACGUAAGAAGAUUGAACUUUGGCCAAUCGAUCCUAACCUUAAACGUAGUUAAACAAUUUCAAGGGCAAAAGGAUGGUGUAUUGUUAAUUGAAAAAAAUGUGGCAGAUAUACCUUACAUCGAAAAGGGCGAUUUUGUGCACAAAUGGAUAGAAACUCACGUUAAUUAUGCUUUCGAUUCAAAAGAAACCGUGUUGGAUCAUUCGUCGGUCAUUACAGAUCAUCAAAGUUCUAUUACCGACUCUACGAGAGCUUCACCGAUUUUUGGUAAUCAAUGUAAAUUUAUUAGAGAAAAAGUUAAAUUAGAGAAUAAUGCUGUAAACAACAUUGAAAAUAUACAUUCAAAUGAUUCACAAAAUACGAGUACUAAAGAAAGUAGAAGUAGUAAGCGUAUGAGAAUAGAUAGUAAUGAUAAAAAGAAAAAUAUAAGAAGAAAACUAUUUGAUUCUCAACCUAUUACUGUUCCGUAUGAAUCAUCUGAUGCAAAUGUUUCUCCUAUACUUGUCAAGAAUUCUUAUUCCUACAAAAGAAGCCGUAGAAAAUAUGAAGAAGAAAAUGCUCAGCGAAAAGCCUUAGAUAGCAUUGAAAAUAAGUGUGUUACAAAUGAUACGACAUCCCCUUUAAUUCAUACUAAUAUAUAUAGAAGUCAAAAAAAAGUCAAAAAAUCUCCUAUUUUGAUUAAAAAUUCUUACAAACGUAAACGUACUGAACAAAAAAAGAAAAUUCAAGAAAAGAUAGAAAAUAAGUAUGUAAAUUCUGAUAUAAAUUCUAUAGAUUCUUGUAAUUCGAUUGAAGUAUCCUUGAAAAAGAAAUGGGAAGUCUUAAACAGUCAAAAGAAACGUGCAUUGUUAAAAAAAUUAGAAGAUGGUUUUAAAGUCAAUCAUUUAAAUCAUUCAAAGAAAGAUUUAGAAUCUACAGAAUCGUGUUCAUCAAUGUAUAAAAAAAUACUAAAUAUAGAAGAUAGUCCAAAGGAAAUAAAAGAUGUUGCGAAAAUUGAAAUUGAAACUAGUGAAGAUGAAGAUAAUGAUAGUAUUAAUAAUACUGUACAUAUAAGUAAUGAUACUGAUAAUGAUUCUAGCAUACGUGAUAAUAUAGAAGAUGCGGAUACGGAUUAUAUUAAUAAAAAUCAUAAUCGUAAUUUAGUAUUUCCUAUUUCGAAAUACACAUCGGUAAAUUCGCAAAUGUCCGAUAAUGAUUCGGAUGUAACAUUUUUUUUAAAAGGGGAACAACUUUCGCAUAAGUUUAUUAACGAACGAUCUUCUCAGAAAAUCUCUCAAUUUUCAACCCAAGUUACAAAUACUACGGAUAAUAUAUCGAGUCAAACUGGAAUUAUUAUUAAUACGAAAACACCACCACAAGAAACUUUGGCAGAUGCUUCGGUACAAUUAACUGUAUUAGAUUCGUGUAAAAAAAGAAGAAAACCUAAAAAAGGUAGUUUGUUGGAAAAAUUACAAUCAACGAUUAAUAGACAAGUAUCGUUUGUACGUAUAUGGAGACAUCAAUUAAAACAAACAAUACAACAAAAUACUCCUAUGCCAUGUAUUACUGUUUAUGUGCAAACAUGCAUAACUCGUUUUGGUAGACAAUUCUUGAAUGGAUUUGUGGUCGAAGAUCCAUUGGAUUUAUUUUCGCACAAAAAAGAAAACAAUUCCGUUAAAUUUAUAAAGAUCAUGACGAUUCCCGAAAUAGUAGGUCGAAUCGAAAUGAAAUCUAAAGGUUUAAUACAAAUUUUCCCUCCAUGGGAAAUUUUGGACGAAAAAGAAUCAAUGUUUCAUGUAACAUAUAUACGUGUUGUACCUGAUAAUGAAAUAGAUAUAAAAAAAUAUAAAAUCGAUUUAAAUCAAUUUAAAAAGUCGGUUAGAAAAAAAGAAUUUCAUUGUGUAUGUAUCGAUAAAAACACAAUGAUUUCAACUUGCGAAGAUCGAUUUAACAAACCAAAUAUAAUCGAAAAAUUAUUUAUGGAGUCAUAAAAAAAAUAUGAAAGAAAAUAUAAUAUGAUUAAAUUAAUAUUUAUAUAAAUAUAUUUAAUCUUUAUGAUACAAUCCAUGUUAUAUGACAUAGUAUGUCAUUAAAUAACGAGAUUAUAUUUAAUUGUUUAUUAUGAUGCAAUAAUUAUGAUUUUUUUGUAAUUUAAGCAAUCUUUUUGUUACUUAUUAUAAAUUUGUCUUAUUAAGUCAUUUACCAAAUAAAACUGAUAUUUUUGUUUGAUUUAUACAUGUUUACAUUACUUUUUAUUACGUUUGAUGCACGAGUAAAACAAAUAUGUAUAUAUAUAUAUAUUUUAAAACGAAAAUCGUCCGAUAGAUGGCUGCUUUUUCGCAUAACGUUUUUUGUAUUGUUGGUAAAAGUUUCUUAUUCUAAGUCUAAUAUUAUUAUUUUUCUGUAAAUCUUAUUUUUCUCUUAAUUUUAAUACGAUAUAAACGAGAAAAAUAUAAAAGAAUUUGAAACGUAUAAUAAUGUCGAUAGCUCAAGAUCGACCUGAACUUUACGAAGAAGUGAAACUUUAUAAGAAUGCAAGAGAAAGAGAAAAGCAUGACAAUCAAGCUGAUCUAUACGCAGUUGUGAAUACAUUGCAGCAUUUAGAGAAAGCUUACAUCAGAGAUUGUGUGACUCCAAAAGAAUACACGGCUGCUUGUAGCAAAUUAUUGGUACAAUAUAGAGCAGCUUUCAAACAGGUAUUUUAAUUUUAUGAUAAAUUUAUCGCAAUAAUUGUAACUGGUUUUAAAUAUAUUUUUUUGCUUAGGUACAAAGCGAUCAAUUUCCUACAAUAGAUGCAUUUGCUAGAGCAUUUCGAUUAGAUUGCCCAGCAGCGCUCGAGAGGAUCAAGGAAGACAGACCGAUCACUAUAAAGGAUGACAAAGGCAAUACAUCUAAAUGCAUCGCGGAUAUCGUUUCUUUGUUCAUUACGUUAAUGGAUAAAUUACGAUUAGAAAUCAAAGCGAUGGAUCAGUUACAUCCAGAUUUAAGAGAUCUAGUGGACACUAUGAAUCGAUUGAGUAUAUUGCCAAGCGAUUUCGAUGGAAAAGAAAAAGUUGCCGAAUGGUUACAAACUUUGAAUAAUAUGUCCGCUUCCGAUGAAUUAUCCGAUAAUCAAGUCAGGCAAUUGAUUUUCGAUUUAGAAACAUCUUAUAAUGCAUUUAAUAAAAUUCUUCAUAAUUCUUCGUAAAUUUGAUAACUGAAUCUGCGUUACAUCGGAAUCUAUAAUGGAUCUUUUAUCACUUUAUAUCAUCGAUUUUUCAAAGUUUUUUCGAAUGUUGCCAUAGUUUUAUCUUGUCACUGGUUAAAUCACAAAACAAUAUUUAGAAACAACUAUUUUAUACGCCAUUCUUUAUAAUGCGAUAUUUACGCGACAUAUUGUAUGUAACAUACAAAACGAUGUACAUAUAUAUAUGGUUUAAUUUAAUUGAAAAAAAUAAAAAUAAUUAUAGGUGCUUAUUAUUAUACUUUUUCAAA